GAGAAUGCCGGUGUGAGUAGCGAAAGACGGGUGAGAAUCCCGUCCACCGAUUGACUAAGGUUUCCAGAGGAAGGCUCGUCCGCUCUGGGUUAGUCGGGUCCUAAGCUGAGGCCGACAGGCGUAGGCGAUGGAUAACAGGUUGAUAUUCCUGUACCACCUAUAAUCGUUUUAAUCGAUGGGGGGACGCAGUAGGAUAGGCGAAGCGUGCGAUUGGAUUGCACGUCUAAGCAGUAAGGCUGAGUAUUAGGCAAAUCCGGUACUCGUUAAGGCUGAGCUGUGAUGGGGAGAAGACAUUGUGUCUUCGAGUCGUUGAUUUCACACUGCCGAGAAAAGCCUCUAGAUAGAAAAUAGGUGCCCGUACCGCAAACCGACACAGGUAGUCAAGAUGAGAAUUCUAAGGUGAGCGAGCGAACUCUCGUUAAGGAACUCGGCAAAAUGACCCCGUAACUUCGGGAGAAGGGGUGCUCUUUAGGGUUAACGCCCAGAAGAGCCGCAGUGAAUAGGCCCAAGCGACUGUUUAUCAAAAACACAGGUCUCUGCUAAACCGUAAGGUGAUGUAUAGGGGCUGACGCCUGCCCGGUGCUGGAAGGUUAAGAGGAGUGGUUAGCUUCUGCGAAGCUACGAAUCGAAGCCCCAGUAAACGGCGGCCGUAACUAUAACGGUCCUAAGGUAGCGAAAUUCCUUGUCGGGUAAGUUCCGACCCGCACGAAAGGCGUAACGAUUUGGGCACUGUCUCAACGAGAGACUCGGUGAAAUCAUAGUACCUGUGAAGAUGCAGGUUACCCGCGACAGGACGGAAAGACCCCGUGGAGCUUUACUGUAGCCUGAUAUUGAAAUUCGGCACAGCUUGUACAGGAUAGGUAGGAGCCUUUGAAACGUGAGCGCUAGCUUACGUGGAGGCGCUGGUGGGAUACUACCCUAGCUGUGUUGGCUUUCUAACCCGCACCACUUAUCGUGGUGGGAGACAGUGUCAGGCGGGCAGUUUGACUGGGGCGGUCGCCUCCUAAAAGGUAACGGAGGCGCUCAAAGGUUCCCUCAGAAUGGUUGGAAAUCAUUCAUAGAGUGUAAAGGCAUAAGGGAGCUUGACUGCGAGACCUACAAGUCGAGCAGGGUCGAAAGACGGACUUAGUGAUCCGGUGGUUCCGCAUGGAAGGGCCAUCGCUCAACGGAUAAAAGCUACCCCGGGGAUAACAGGCUUAUCUCCCCCAAGAGUUCACAUCGACGGGGAGGUUUGGCACCUCGAUGUCGGCUCAUCGCAUCCUGGGGCUGUAGUCGGUCCCAAGGGUUGGGCUGUUCGCCCAUUAAAGCGGUACGCGAGCUGGGUUCAGAACGUCGUGAGACAGUUCGGUCCCUAUCCGUCGUGGGCGUAGGAAAUUUGAGAGGAGCUGUCCUUAGUACGAGAGGACCGGGAUGGACAUACCUCUGGUGUACCAGUUGUCGUGCCAACGGCAUAGCUGGGUAGCUAUGUGUGGACGGGAUAAGUGCUGAAAGCAUCUAAGCAUGAAGCCCCCCUCAAGAUGAGAUUUCCCGACUUCGGUUAUAAGAUCCCUCAAAGAUGAUGAGGUUAAUAGGUUCGAGGUGGAAGCAUGGUGACAUGUGGAGCUGACGAAUACUAAUCGAUCGAAGACUUAAUCAA
rnacentral:rRNA from 1 species